rnacentral:rRNA from 1 species
AACAGGUUGAUAUUCCUGUACCACCUAUAAUCGUUUUAAUCGAUGGGGGGACGCAGUAGGAUAGGCGAAGCGUGCGAUUGGAUUGCACGUCUAAGUAGUAAGGCUGAGUAUUAGGCAAAUCCGGUACUCAUUAAGGCUGAGCUGUGAUGGGGAGAAGACAUUGUGUCUUCGAGUCGUUGAUUUCACACUGCCGAGAAAAGCCUCUAGAUAGAAAAUAGGUGCCCGUACCGCAAACCGACACAGGUAGUCAAGAUGAGAAUUCUAAGGUGAGCGAGCGAACUCUCGUUAAGGAACUCGGCAAAAUGACCCCGUAACUUCGGGAGAAGGGGUGCUCUUUAGGGUUAACGCCCAGAAGAGCCGCAGUGAAUAGGCCCAAGCGACUGUUUAUCAAAAACACAGGUCUCUGCUAAACCGUAAGGUGAUGUAUAGGGGCUGACGCCUGCCCGGUGCUGGAAGGUUAAGAAGAGUGGUUAGCUUCUGCGAAGCUACGAAUCGAAGCCCCAGUAAACGGCGGCCGUAACUAUAACGGUCCUAAGGUAGCGAAAUUCCUUGUCGGGUAAGUUCCGACCCGCACGAAAGGCGUAACGAUUUGGGCACUGUCUCAACGAGAGACUCGGUGAAAUCAUAGUACCUGUGAAGAUGCAGGUUACCCGCGACAGGACGGAAAGACCCCGUGGAGCUUUACUGUAGCCUGAUAUUGAAAUUCGGCACAGCUUGUACAGGAUAGGUAGGAGCCUUUGAAACGUGAGCGCUAGCUUACGUGGAGGCGCUGGUGGGAUACUACCCUAGCUGUGUUGGCUUUCUAACCCGCACCACUUAUCGUGGUGGGAGACAGUGUCAGGCGGGCAGUUUGACUGGGGCGGUCGCCUCCUAAAAGGUAACGGAGGCGCUCAAAGGUUCCCUCAGAAUGGUUGGAAAUCAUUCAUAGAGUGUAAAGGCAUAAGGGAGCUUGACUGCGAGACCUACAAGUCGAGCAGGGUCGAAAGACGGACUUAGUGAUCCGGUGGUUCCGCAUGGAAGGGCCAUCGCUCAACGGAUAAAAGCUACCCCGGGGAUAACAGGCUUAUCUCCCCCAAGAGUUCACAUCGACGGGGAGGUUUGGCACCUCGAUGUCGGCUCAUCGCAUCCUGGGGCUGUAGUCGGUCCCAAGGGUUGGGCUGUUCGCCCAUUAAAGCGGUACGCGAGCUGGGUUCAGAACGUCGUGAGACAGUUCGGUCCCUAUCCGUCGUGGGCGUAGGAAAUUUGAGAGGAGCUGUCCUUAGUACGAGAGGACCGGGAUGGACAUACCUCUGGUGUACCAGUUGUCGUGCCAACGGCAUAGCUGGGUAGCUAUGUGUGGACGGGAUAAGUGCUGAAAGCAUCUAAGCAUGAAGCCCCCCUCAAGAUGAGAUUUCCCAACUUCGGUUAUAAGAUCCCUCAAAGAUGAUGAGGUUAAUAGGUUCGAGGUGGAAGCAUGGUGACAUGUGGAGCUGACGAAUACUAAUCGAUCGAAGACUUAAUCAA